rnacentral:rRNA from 1 species
GACGAACGCUUGCGGCGUGCCUAAGAAAUGCAAGUCGAGCGGGGGUAGCAAUACCCUAGCGGCGAACGGUCGCGUAACACGUAAGCAACCUGCCCCGAAGACCGGGACAACAGCUCGAAAGGGCUGCUAAUACCGGAUGUGGCCAUUGGGGGACAUCCCCUGGUGAUUAAAUCAAGCAAUUGGCUUCGGGAGGGGCUUGCGGCCUAUCAGCUAGUUGGUGGGGUAACGGCCUACCAAGGCGACGACGGGUAGCUGGUCUGAGAGGACGGCCAGCCGGACUGGGACUGAGAUACGGCCCAGACUCCUACGGGGGGCAGCAAUUAGGAAUCUUGCGCAAUGGGCGAAAGCCUGACGCAGCGACGCCGCGUGGAGGAGGAAGUCCUUUGGGAUGUAAACUCCUUUUGCCAGGGAAGAAACAAAUGACGGUACCUGGUGAAUAAGCCCCGGCUAACUACGUGCCAGCCGCCGCGGUAAAAC